rnacentral:lncRNA from 10 species
GGCCAUAUGACUAGUGCUGCCCAAUGGACUGUGAACAGAAAUGACAGCAUCACUCGCAUGGAGACUCCUCCAUCUCUGUCUUCCCUGUUGUGACAGUCUCAGAGCCUACGUUCUUUCAAUGGCUGGGCUACAAGAUGGUGACAGGCUGCCCAACCUGACACAGCAAGAAGGCGGCCAUCUGCAAACCAGAAAGAGAGCCCUCACCAGGAACCGGAUCUGCUGGCACCUUGAUCUUGGACUUCCUAUCCUUUAGAGCUGUGAGAAAUGUCGCCCCCAGGUCAAUGGGAUAUUUGUUACAGCACCAGAACCGCUUUCUCGGGGGCAGAGCAGAGCAUGGCUUCCCAAAUCCCACAGACCUGAUCUGGAACUCAGCUUCACCGCCAACCGCCUGUGUGACCUUGAGGAAGCUAUGUAACCUCUCUGGGGCUCAGCUGACUCACCCCAAAAUGAGAGAGGUGGCUGUGACGUUAAAGGAGGUGACAUGUUUCACUGUUUAGCACUGGAUCUGUCCUCACCAUAUUAAGGACCAACUCACACCCAGCCCCUUGGGGGAGACCUUCUCCCUCAGCUCUGUCUCAGACCUUCUCUGGGACCCACAGUAUCUGCUACCCUGGCUCCAUCGAACACACUCCGGGCUG